UACAAAGGGGGGCUAGCGUUGCUCGGAAUGACUGGGCGUAAAGGGCGCGUAGGCGGCUUGCACAGUCAGGCGUGAAAUUCCUGGGCUCAACCUGGGGACUGCGCUUGAGACGUGUGGGCUUGAGUGGGGAAGAGGGUCGUGGAAUUCCCAGUGUAGAGGUGAAAUUCGUAGAUAUUGGGAAGAACACCGGUGGCGAAGGCGGCGACCUGGUCCUUGACUGACGCUGAGGCGCGAAAGCGUGGGGAGCAAACAGG
rnacentral:rRNA from 1 species